rnacentral:rRNA from 1 species
GUUUAAGCCGCCGCGGUAAUACGUAGGGUGCAAGCGUUAUCCGGAAUUAUUGGGCGUAAAGAGCUCGUAGGCGGUUUGUCGCGUCUGCUGUGAAAACUGGAGGCUCAACCUCCAGCCUGCAGUGGGUACGGGCAAACUAGAGUGCGGUAGGGGAGAUUGGAAUUCCUGGUGUAGCGGUGGAAUGCGCAGAUAUCAGGAGGAACACCGAUGGCGAAGGCAGAUCUCUGGGCCGUAACUGACGCUGAGGAGCGAAAGCAUGGGGAGCGAACAGGAUUAGAUACCCUGGUAGUCC